rnacentral:misc_RNA from 1 species
ACCCCGCUGAAUGCCAUCAUCGGAUUUUCUGAGAUGAUCGUCCGCGAGAACGAGAUGAUGAUCGACGCCGCUCGGCGGCAGGAAUACGCCAAGCUGAUCAACGAAUCCGGCCUGCACCUGCUGUCGGUGGUCAAUGGCAUUCUCGACAUGUCGAAGAUGGAAAGCGGCAACUUCGAGAUUCUUCCCGAACUUUUCUCGCCGCGCGAGUCCCUGGUCAGUUGCUGCAACCUGAUGGUUUUGAAAGCACGCGAAAACGGCAUCGAUGUC